GACGAACGCUGGCGGCGUGCUUAACACAUGCAAGUCGAACGGAAAGGCCCUGCUUGCCGGGUACUCGAGUGGCGAACGGGUGAGUAACACGUGGGUGAUCUGCCCUGCACUUCGGGAUAAGCCUGGGAAACUGGGUCUAAUACCGGAUAGGAGCCAUUUUUAGUGUGAUGGUUGGAAAGUUUUUUCGGUGUAGGAUGAGCUCGCGGCCUAUCAGCUUGUUGGUGGGGUAAUGGCCUACCAAGGCGGCGACGGGUAGCCGGCCUGAGAGGGUGGACGGCCACAUUGGGACUGAGAUACGGCCCAGACUCCUACGGGAGGCAGCAGUGGGGAAGAUUGCACAAUGGGCGCAAGCCUGAUGCAGCGACGCCGCGUGGGGGAUGACGGCCUUCGGGUUGGAAACUCCUUUCGCUAGGGACGAAGCUUUUUGUGACGGUACCUAGAUAAGAAGCACCGGCUAACUACGUG
rnacentral:rRNA from 1 species